GUUUUAUAUAAAAUUUAUUUAUUAAUUUUUUUUUUUUAUUUUAUAAUUUAUUAAAAAUAAUUAUAUAAUUUGAUGUUUUAGUAAUUUUUAAUGAAAAAAUAAUUUUUAUAAUAGUUAAAUAUGUAUUGUGAAAGAAUAUUGAAAUAAUUUGAAAAAUUUUUAUUAAAAAAGAAAAUUUAAAUUAUUGUACCUUGUGUAUCAGGGUUUAUUAAAAAAUUAAUAAUUAUUUAUUAAUCUCGAUUUUAUAAGAGUUAAUAAUUUAUUAAAGUUAAUGUGUCAAAAUUAUUUUUAAUAAAUUAUUAGAAAUGAAAUGUUAUUCGUUUAUAAAGGUAUCUAGUUUUUUUAGAAAUAAAUUUAAUUUACAAUAUUUUAAUUUUUUAUUUAUUUAUUUAAAUAAAAAAUUUAUUAAAUUGAAUAUUUAAAGGGAUAAGCUUUUGAAUAAAUUGUUAAAAAUUAAUAAUUAUUUUAUAAAAUGUAUGUUUAGAAUUAGCAAUCAUUUAUAAGUUUGUUAUAAAUUAUUUUAUUUAAUUAUAUUAUUUAUUAGUUUUUUAAAUUUUUAUAAAAAAAUUUUUUUUAAUAUUGUUAUAAGAAGUAAUAAUGAUAAAAUUAGUAUAUUUUUAUUGUUUAUAUAAUUUAAUUAUGAUAAGUUUAUAUAAAGAAUUCGGCAAAUUUUUUACUCGCCUGUUUAACAAAAACAUGUCUUUUUGAGUUAUUUUAAAAGUCUAACCUGCCCACUGAAUUUAUUUAAAUGGCCGCAGUAUUUUAACUGUGCAAAGGUAGCAUAAUCAUUAGUCUUUUAAUUGAAGGCUGGAAUGAAUGGUUGGACGAAGUAUAAGCUGUUUCAUAUAAAUUUAUAAUAGAAUUUUAUUUUUUAGUUAAAAAGCUAAAAUAUUAUUAAAAGACGAGAAGACCCUAUAAAUCUUUAUAUUUUAUAAUAAUUAAAUUUUAUUGAUAUAUUUUAUUUUUAUAUUAUAAAAUAUUUUGUUGGGGUGAUAUUAAAAUUUUAUUAACUUUUAAUUUUAUUUAAUCAUUAAUUUAUGAAUAAUUGAUCCGUUAAUAACGAUUAAAAGAUUAAGUUACUUUAGGGAUAACAGCGUAAUUUUUUUGGAGAGUUCAUAUCGAUAAAAAAGUUUGCGACCUCGAUGUUGGAUUAAGAGAUAUUUUUAGGUGUAGUCGCUUAAAUAUAAAGUCUGUUCGACUUUUAAAUUCUUACAUGAUCUGAGUUCAGACCGGCGUAAGCCAGGUUGGUUUCUAUCUUUAAUAAAUAUAAAUACUUUAGUACGAAAGGACCAAGUAUUAAAAUAAUAAUAUUUUAAUAUAAAGAAUAUUAAUAAUUAAUU
rnacentral:rRNA from 1 species